ACGGGUGAGUAACGCGUGAGGAACCUGCCUUUCAGAGGGGGAUAACGUCUGGAAACGGACGCUAAUACCGCAUGAUAUCUCGAGGCCGCAUGGUCAUGAGAUCAAAGGAGCAAUCCGCUGAAAGAUGGACUCGCGUCCGAUUAGCCAGUUGGCGGGGUAAUGGCCCACCAAAGCCGCGAUCGGUAGCCGGACUGAGAGGUUGAACGGCCACAUUGGGACUGAGACACGGCCCAGACUCCUACGGGAGGCAGCAGUGGGGGAUAUUGCACAAUGGAGGAAACUCUGAUGCAGCAACGCCGCGUGAGGGAAGAAGGUCUUCGGAUUGUAAACCUUUGUCCUCGGUGACGAUAAUGACGGUAGCCGAGGAGGAAGCUCCGGCUAACUACGUGCCAGCAGCCGCGGUAAUACGUAGGGAGCGAGCGUUGUCCGGAUUUACUGGGUGUAAAGGGUGCGUAGGCGGCUCUGCAAGUCAGGUGUGAAAACUAUCAGCUUAACUGAUAGACUGCAUUUGAAACUGUGGAGCUUGAGUGGAGCAGAGGCAGAUGGAAUUCCCGGUGUAGCGGUGAAAUGCGUAGAGAUCGGGAGGAACACCAGUGGCGAAGGCGAUCUGCUGGGCUUUAACUGACGCUGAGGCACGAAAGCAUGGGUAGCAAACAGGAUUAGAUACCCUGGUAGUCCAUGCCGUAAACGAUGAUUACUAGGUGUGGGGGGUCUGACCCCCUCCGUGCCGGAGUUAACACAAUAAGUAAUCCACCUGGGAAGUACGACCGCAAGGUUGAAACUCAAAGGAAUUGACGG
rnacentral:rRNA from 1 species